rnacentral:rRNA from 1 species
UGGGGAAUAUUGGACAAUGGGCGCAAGCCUGAUCCAGCCAUGCCGCGUGAGUGAUGAAGGCCUUAGGGUUGUAAAGCUCUUUCGCCGACGAAGAUAAUGACGGUAGUCGGAGAAGAAGCCCCGGCUAACUUCGUGCCAGCAGCCGCGGUAAUACGAAGGGGGCUAGCGUUGUUCGGAAUCACUGGGCGUAAAGCGCACGUAGGCGGAUUGUUAAGUCAGGGGUGAAAGCCUGGAGCUCAACUCCAGAACUGCCCUUGAUACUGGCAAUCUCGAGUCCGGAAGAGGUAAGUGGAACUGCGAGUGUAGAGGUGAAAUUCGUAGAUAUUCGCAAGAACACCAGUGGCGAAGGCGGCUUACUGGUCCGGUACUGACGCUGAGGUGCGAAAGCGUGGGGAGCAAAACAGGAUUAGAUACCCUGGUAGUCCACGCCGUAAACGAUGGAGGCUAGCCGUUGGCGAGCAUGCUCGUCAGUGGCGCAGCUAACGCAUUAAGCCUCCCGCCUGGGGGAGUACGGUCGCAAGAUUAAAAACUUAAAGGAAUUGACGGGGUCAUAGCUGUUUCCU